CAAACUCCAAACAGCCACUAGUACAGAAAGAAGUCUUGGAAUGCAAAGAGCUUUGGUGUGACUUUCCCUCAGAUGGCACAAGCAGCCUGCGUGCUUUCACGAAAUGUGCAUACAUGGCAACCCAGAUAAAAAUGAUUCACUGAGCCUGAGAAAGCUUCAAGCAAAUCUAACAAGGGAAAAAAAAGUUCCCGUGGAGAAUUUACUUUCUAUCUCUUUGUUACAAUUGUUGGACAAUUUUUAAAGCAUUUUUUACCUUGUAACUUACUGCGACUGAGAAUCACACAAAUAAACAUCUGUUGAGGUUUUUUAACAUAAAAAUAAAAAUGCAGACAAUUAAAGUGGUCAUAGGCCAUACAUCUGUACACUAUGUUCAUCUUACAUACAAGACAGACAUGAACAACAUGUUCAUUUGAAAUGCAAUCCACCCUCCUCUAACUCUUGUAAGUAACACUGUCUGUAGGCUGAGUGUCUUUGAUUCUUUACAACAUUUUACUACAGAAAUUGUACCUAAAUUUUAUUUUUUUCCGGUUUGGGUUUGUUGGGGUUUUUUUUGGGUCUUGCUUCUUUCAAAUUUUGGUAUUAACAAAUAUUGCAAUUUCCUUGCUGUAAGUAUGUUUGACCUAGAGUUUGGAGCCCGUUAAAAUCUUUUCUCUGUAGUGUGAUGCCCUCACUACUAUAUUUUCAGUUGAGAUAAUCUUGUCAUAGUAAUUGCUGCUGUCAUCACAGUAUUAAGGUUCAUUUUGAUUUCUUUUUUAGUCUACAUGUUUGCUUAGCUCUUCUAGCAGCAUGACUAAUCAGGAUAUUUGAGAUCUAAGCUUCAAGAUUUCCAAUAUUUGUGUGGUCCUUUGAAUUCUGGAGGCCAGGCGAUGCUUAAUUCAUUGUCUAAAGAAUCCUCAGAAACAUAAAUGUCAUUGCAGUUAAUGUUAUAAGAAAACUUCUGAUUACGGUUACAGCCAUCUAUGUUUUGCGCUAUGUUGCCAAUCAUUUUGGAAAAUACAAGUCCAGAGCAUUUUAUUCUGGUUGCUUGAACAGUUGUGACACAGUUUAUUAAACCACAUCAGCAACAUUACUAAGUAUUUUGCAAGAUAAAAACCCCUCAUGAAACAUUUCUUUUGAGGGGAUGUUUUUACCCUUUAUUCCUAUUAGUGUAGUAAGACAAAUCUAUGAAGGCAAGACUACAUUUGGACCUAAUUACCUUAAAAACCACCACUAGAUAUACAACACUAAAUUUUUCUCAAAUAAUUACUACUCCUAUUUUGCCAAUCCAGACAGCUAAAACAUGAAUAUCUAAAGAUAGAAAAGUGGUUUAGAAACAAGAAAGAAUCAAUAAGUAUUAGAGCUUCCAUGAAUACACAGCAAAAUAUUAAUAAAAUAUCAGCCAUGAAAAUGUGACUUGUUCAUAAUUAAUUAGAGCACAUCUGAUACUUUUAUUAGCUGAGAACCAUAUUUAUAAUAAAUGACCUGUCAAGCAGCAUUUUGAAUACAAAAUGAAGGUUAAAAUAAUUCUAAUAUGGGCAAAGCUUUCUUAUUCCUAUAAACUAGUAUGUCUUUGUAUAAAUGUGAAAGAUAUCAUCUGUCACUACUGCAGCAUUGGUUUUUUUCUGGGGGGAGGGGGAAGGACUAUGUUAAGUAGACAACUGCAUCUUAAAAGUUCAUGGCUAUGCAUGUUGCUUGAAUGCAGUGGCAAACUAAUUUAGCUCCACUUGUGAUCUUGCAAUAAUUUCUGUCAAUCAGGAUGGCAUUAAUAAAAAACCUCAAUCUAAACAGAA